CGAACGCUGGCGGCGUGCUUAACACAUGCAAGUCGAAACGCGAAAGGGACUUCGGUCCUGAGUAAAGUGGCGCACGGGUGAGUAACGCGUAGAUAACCUGUCUUCAUGUCUGGAAUAAUACGCCGAAAGGGGUACUAAUACCGGAUAUUCUUGCUUUUCAUAAGUUAUGCAAGCAAAGGUGGCCUCUGCAUAUGCUACUGCAUGAAGAGGGGUCUGCGUACCAUUAGCUAGUAGGUGGGGUAAUGGCCUACCUAGGCGACGAUGGUUAGCGGGUCUGAGAGGAUGAUCCGCCACACUGGCACUGGAACACGGGCCAGACUCCUACGGGAGGCAGCAGUGAGGAAUAUUGCGCAAUGGGGGAAACCCUGACGCAGCGACGCCGCGUGAGUGAGGAAGGCCUUCGGGUCGUAAAGCUCUGUCAAGAGGAAAGAAGUGUACAAUGGCUAAUACCUGUUGUAUUUGACGGUACCUCUAAAGGAAGCACCGGCUAACUCCGUGCCAGCCGCGGC
rnacentral:rRNA from 1 species